rnacentral:rRNA from 1 species
AACGUAGGUACCGAGCGUUAUCCGGAUUUACUGGGCGUAAAGCGCGUUCAGGCGGCUCAGCAAGUCGGGCAUGAAAUCUCUCGGCUCAACCGGGAGGGGCUGUCCGAUACUGCUGGACUUGAGGGCAGUAGAGGGUGGUGGAAUUCCGGGUGUAGUGGUGAAAUGCGUAGAUAUCCGGAGGAACACCAGUGGCGAAAGCGGCCACCUGGACUGUACCUGACGCUGACACGCGAAAGCUAGGGGAGCGAACGGG